rfam:Pragia fontium strain 24613, complete genome.
AAUCGUUGGUGGCGACCUCUCCUUUAGCGGGCGGCCUACUUGCAGCAAUUUGUCAUCAGAUAAAGCAAUUAGCCAGAAGCCCGCAAUAUGCGGGCUUUUUUAU